UACGUAGGGUGCAAGCGUUGUCCGGAAUUAUUGGGCGUAAAGAGCUCGUAGGCGGUCUGUCACGUCGGCUGUGAAAUCCCGAGGCUCAACCUCGGGUCUGCAGUCGAUACGGGCAAACUAGAGUAUUGCAGGGGAGACUGGAAUUCCUGGUGUAGCGGUGAAAUGCGCAGAUAUCAGGAGGAACACCGGUGGCGAAGGCGGGUCUCUGGGCAAUAACUGACGCUGAGGAGCGAAAGCGUGGGGAGCAAACAGG
rnacentral:rRNA from 1 species